rnacentral:rRNA from 1 species
ACGGGGCUAAACCAUGCACCGAAGCUGCGGCAGCGACACUAUGUGUUGUUGGGUAGGGGAGCGUUCUGUAAGCCUGUGAAGGUGUGUCGUGAGGCAUGCUGGAGGUAUCAGAAGUGCGAAUGCUGACAUAAGUAACGAUAAAGCGGGUGAAAAGCCCGCUCGCCGGAAGACCAAGGGUUCCUGUCCAACGUUAAUCGGGGCAGGGUGAGUCGACCCCUAAGGCGAGGCCGAAAGGCGUAGUCGAUGGGAAACGGGUUAAUAUUCCCGUACUUGGUGUUACUGCGAAGGGGGGACGGAGAAGGCUAUGUUGGCCGGGCGACGGUUGUCCCGGUUUAAGCGUGUAGGUGUGUGUUCCAGGUAAAUCCGGUUCACUUUAACACUGAGGCGUGACGACGAGGCACUACGGUGCUGAAGCAACAAAUGCCCUGCUUCCAGGAAAAGCCUCUAAGCAUCAGGUAACAUCAAAUCGUACCCCAAACCGACACAGGUGGUCAGGUAGAGAAUACCAAGGCGCUUGAGAGAACUCGGGUGAAGGAACUAGGCAAAAUGGUGCCGUAACUUCGGGAGAAGGCACGCUGACACGUAGGUGAAGUGAUUUACUCAUGGAGCUGAAGUCAGUCGAAGAUACCAGCUGGCUGCAACUGUUUAUUAAAAACACAGCACUGUGCAAACACGAAAGUGGACGUAUACGGUGUGACGCCUGCCCGGUGCCGGAAGGUUAAUUGAUGGGGUCAGCGCAAGCGAAGCUCCUGAUCGAAGCCCCGGUAAACGGCGGCCGUAACUAUAACGGUCCUAAGGUAGCGAAAUUCCUUGUCGGGUAAGUUCCGACCUGCACGAAUGGCGUAAUGAUGGCCAGGCUGUCUCCACCCGAGACUCAGUGAAAUUGAACUCGCUGUGAAGAUGCAGUGUACCCGCGGCAAGACGGAAAGACCCCGUGAACCUUUACUAUAGCUUGACACUGAACAUUGAGCCUUGAUGUGUAG